rnacentral:rRNA from 1 species
CCUACGGGAGGCAGCAGUGAGGAAUAUUGGUCAAUGGCCGGAAGGCUGAACCAGCCAUGCCGCGUGAAGGUCAGUGCCCUAUGGGCUGUAAACUUCUUUUGUGCGGGAGCAAUAAUGGUCACGUGUGGCCAGACGAGAGUACCGUACGAAUAAGCAUCGGCUAACUCCGUGCCAGCAGCCGCGGUAAUACUGGGUAUGGAGGCGUUAUCCGGAUUUAUUGGGGUGAAAGGGGUCGUAGGCUGUGAGGUAAGUCAGAGGUGAAAUGCCCCCGCUCAACGGGGUGAAGUGCCAUUGAUACUGCCUGGCUGGAAUGCGGAUGCCGGGGGAGGAAGGUGUGGUGUAGCGGUGAAAUGCAUAGAUAUCACACAGAACACCGAUUGCGAAGGCAUCUCACGAAUCCGCGAUUGACGCUGAUGCACGAAAGCGUGGGUAUCAAACAGGAUUAGAUACCCGUGUAGUC